AGAAGUAUUUGAAGCACACACAAAGUGCCAAACUCUCGUACGGUGUCCUAAUCGUGAAGAGUUGCAUCUACGGAGCCUUCAUUGGGUUUUUGGUGUGGAAGCUUCAGGGUUCAAGUGGAAAACACAACAACUAGGCGCCGAAUCCUGGGAGAUGAGUUCAUCUUCUGUAACUCUGUAAAUAUUAUAUGAUAAAAGAGCUGAGUUAGGUUUCUUCUAAAACUGCAUUUGCACUCUCAUCAGCUCACAUUCUGCACACAGUACACACAGCAGCGCUCACUCUUGUUACAAUAAUAAUAAAUAGCAUGCAGGUAGUGGAGGUUUUGUAGAUUUGUAGUCAUUUUAUGUUUGUUAAAUGCUUGUUUGCUGAAUUUUCUCCUCAAUAAAAGUUUCUGAGAGGAUUCUGA